AGACACACUGCAGCUUGUCAGAAGUAUGUGAGGUGGCGGGUUUUUUUGCGUGGAGGUGGGCGAGUCGUGCCUCUGCCAACUGAGAACUUCCUUUAUGGGAAGGUUUUUCACACUGAAAUAUUUUGGUGGAGAGAUCCUGGCUCAUGUCUGAGGAGUGUCAAAGCUAUUAAGCUGGCCUGACAGGUUACCUAGGGAUUCCCUUGCCUUGGAGAGCCUUUUGUUAAUGUAAAGCUGAUGUGGCUGUUUUCUGCCUCCUCCCCUGUGGUUCCUGUUGCAUGAAGUAAACGUGGCGUGGCCAGAAUGCAGGAAGCCAGAAGAACCGGAACCAGUGUUUGUUCCCUUAGAGAUUUCAUGCCAACUGCGUGAAAUACAUCUGCAUCACUUCGUGUGUUGUCCCUGUAACUGGUCCUCUGCUGCCUUUUUGCCAUAAAUGGUCUAGGCUACAGAAGUUCUGCACAUGAAAGACCUGGAGGAGCAGGAGCAGUUUCAAAGGCAGACGAAAUGUUUCAGAAACGGCUGGGUUUUGUACCCGGGACUGAGAAGCAUUCUACAGUCAGGUUGGCUUGAAAUGCCUGGGUUUGCAUCUGGGCAUCAUGGCCAUAUCCAUGGUCGUGGUGAUUUUUGGAUCGUAUGCUUUCUGGAUCAAAAGUUAAUGUCUCACAUGCAUUAAGAGGCUUCAUCUGGACUCAGUUGUACAUAUCACAUUUCAGAUGAGUAAACUAUUUUUUUCUUUAAUUAGUUAUAUUUUUUUUAAAUGGGGAAUUUCACAGGUUAUUAAACAUAGUUGUGCCACUGGGUAUCAAUCUAACAGCUGAAAAACCUAGGCAUCGUAUUGUAGCAAUUGCUUACUUAAUGUCUGGGCUUCCUUGUGUGGGUUUUGUUUUUUAGUCUAAGAGAACGAAUUCAUUUGAGUGACUGCAAAGCUCAGAAAAUACCAGUUAUCAAUUCUCUUUCUAAUGACAACUGAUGACAUGAUUUUUACAAAUGGUUGAGCACUUGGCAAAUGCUAACCAUAGAAAUCGAAUGAGCUGAAAGAAACUCCAGUCUGCCCUAUUGUCGCUGCUGAGCUGACAGAUGGGGAAAAGAGGAGGAGGUGGUGAUGCUCUCCCAGAAGCCCAGGGGCACACCGCAAAAUGACUGCUGAAGUGUCUUGAAAGACCGUAAGUGAGAGAGGAGCUGAUUUCCAAAGAGCAGACACCACCUACAUUUUGCUUUAAAAGUUGCCCUUUCUAGCACAGCCCCCACAAAUGGGCUGACCAAAUUCCUUGCGGAACAGCUAGCACCAGAGCUCAUUCGAGCCUCAGCAGUGGAGGUAAAAUUGAAUUUCCACAAAGGAAGGAGGAGCUGGAGCCAGGCUUCCUACUCCAGCAGCUGCUGGGAGAGCGGGAGGGCAGGGCUACCAUUACAGCUGCCCUAAGCAGGUGGCACAAAUGCCAGCAUCUGCCACUGCCCUGGACACUGUCACCUGCCUGGGCACCAUCAGCAUGGCCGGGGCGCUUUGCUACCCCAGCCGUCUGCUGCUGCGAACAGCUGCCCGCUCUGCUGGUGCCUAAGCAGCAGGGAAAAUCCCCCGGUAUGUGGAAAAGCCUGUAAGCCCCAGAAUAAGAAUUAAGAAAUCGGUGGUGGCAGUCUCUUGAGAUCAAAUUGCUCGGCCUUGCCUUUCCUUACCUAUCUUUUUUUUCUUUUUCUUCUCAAUUAGUCUAAUGUGUCUCCUCUCGUUUUGUAAAAAGUGACUCGAGAAGUUAAAAGUACCAAACUUCAGUAGAUUCACCCAUAUGUGCUGCGCGCCUCAGGCUAGACAGCACAUAUUGGUAGCCAGACUGAGAAGAACAUUUACCACAUUACCUCCUAAAAACUCACUUUAUUUUUCUUGUUGAGCUGGCUCCCAUCCAAUGUGACACUCUAGUGUGAGCCAUGCAGUGACAGCAACAGCCUCCAUGGAAACACACGGGAGCAUGAGGCCAGUCGUGGGGUAGAGAGAAAAGGCAGCUCCGUCUUUUUCCUCAGUCUGCCGCAUUUUUUCUCUGAACAAGCUUUCUUUUUCAUUUUUAAAGCACUUUUAGGAACGCCCCUCCUAUGCCACCAUGUCUUUGGUAUGUCUCUUGCAGCAAUGCAAAGUUAUGCUGAAACUAGAAAACCUGGGGGUGAUUGCAAGGCGUCACCAUCUCACGACCCCGGCAGUUUUUUACUCAAUUUUACACGCUGGAGCCAGGAGGGGAACCUGCCUCUGCAACCGAGACACAAAUAGAUGCCGGCUACGACUGCCUGGAAGUAAAUCUCUCAGCCUGACUAUCCACUGUUCGAUGCAGACAGUGAACCAGGUAGCUGUCUGGCGGUGUUCCAAGUGUUUGAGCAUUUCACAGAUGACAGGCUAAAUCUGGCAAAAUUUGCAAGCCUACAGGCUAGCUGCUGCCGUGCUUAACUUCUAGACACCUGGCUUUACAUCCACAGACAACAGGACAGUACUGAAUUUCGCUGCACAUCCCUUGUAGUCUCCCAGUACCAAAUUCAUACCGUGAAGUGUGCAAUGCCCAUUCUGUAUAUGUCAUGGGGAGAAUCAGGUGCCUCGGAUUCACCACAGCCAGAGUACUGAGCCGGGACCCUCUUAAACUAACCAAGAAGAACGACUGAAACCAGUUAUGUAGUAGAAUUUCCCCCCUCUCAGCACCUAAGAAGCCUAAGUGUGGGCUGCACCAUAAAGGUAGCUUUAUGGUGUUGGGAGUCACACCCUGGUAUUCUCUGCUCAAGCUGAACACCAUCUUUUCCAGGGGCUGGAUCAGCUUACUUUUUUUUUUCGAACAAUGCAUCAGUACCUUGACAACA